rnacentral:hammerhead_ribozyme from 1 species
AUCCAGCUGGCGAGUCCCGAAUAGGAGCAAACGCGCGUCCUAGAU